GGUCUGGUAGCUCAGUGGUAGAGCAAUCGCCCGCAAGCGAGAGACUCGGGUUCGAUUCCCGGUCCGGUGG
rnacentral:tRNA from 1 species